ACUAGUUUUCAAGAAUGGAGUUAAACUAGAUUUGCAUUCAACUCUGGUUUAUUGUGUUAAUGAUGUUUUGCUGUAACAAAUAUGAAUUUUUUGUUUAAGUAUAAUAAUUUAAAAUGUUUUUUUCUAGAGAAUGAAGUACUGCCACUAAGGUAAAGGUGCUAACUUGCAAGGAGCUGUUCUCAAAACAUUGGGUGACAAAGAAUUCACUUUUACAAAAAUCGAGCAGGAUAUUAAAGACAGCGAACUAUAGAACAAAUAUGGCGAAGCUGCAUGAAGUCUAUGUUGAAUUUUAUUAUU